rnacentral:rRNA from 1 species
ACGAACGCUGGCGGCGUGCUUAACACAUGCAAGUCGAACGGAAAGGCCCUGCUUUUGUGGGGUGCUCGAGUGGCGAACGGGUGAGUAACACGUGAGUAACCUGCCCUUGACUUUGGGAUAACUUCAGGAAACUGGGGCUAAUACCGGAUAGGAGCUCCGGCUGCAUGGUGGGGGUUGGAAAGUUUCGGCGGUUGGGGAUGGACUCGCGGCUUAUCAGCUUGUUGGUGGGGUAGUGGCUUACCAAGGCUUUGACGGGUAGCCGGCCUGAGAGGGUGACCGGCCACAUUGGGACUGAGAUACGGCCCAGACUCCUACGGGAGGCAGCAGUGGGGAAUAUUGCACAAUGGGCGGAAGCCGGAUGCAGCAACGCGGCGUGCGGGAUGACGGCUUUCGGGUUGUAAACCGCUUUCGCCUGUGACGAAGCGUGAGUGACGGUAAUGGGUAAAGAAGCACCGGCUAACUACGUG